UUGCAUUGUUUCCCAAACUUACUCACCUCAAACCUUCACUACUGGUAUUUUACUUUCGGCGGCGGUGGCGAUGUGCGUAGUUGUGUCCCUUGCUCUGGGACACGACCCUGAUGGACAUGACCUCAUGUAAGCCUCCCAUUCGCUCUCUGCUCUGAGGUGCUUCCUUCCCGUCUCCCCAGACAGCUAAACUCUAAAGAUAUGAGCAGGUCCUGUCCUGCCUGGAGCUCUCAGAAGGCUGUCGGUGGGUUCUAGAGACCCGGAUCCCUGGAUCACGGUGCUGACGUCUAUGUGGACACCCUGGAACUCCUCUACGCAUUCACUGAGCACAUCCUGCAACCAAUUCUAGCCUUAAUGCCUGCUAUGCGGCUCUAGAUGGGCCAUGACAGAAACGGGGAAUGUCAACCACGAACCCCCUCGCCCCCAGCCCUUCCAGAACCAGGAGAACCUCCCCUAGCCUCCCAGCCGCCUGCCUGCCAUACACAGAGCCCGGGGGAAAUUCCAAAACCCCUUCUUCAAAAGCCACAGCUAUGGCGAUAGAAAAAGAAGAGGCUUGGCCUGGAUUCGGCCAGACCUGGAAUGGGAUCCCGUCGGUGGCCUCUGGGUGGCCGCUUCACUUCUCUGCAACCUCAGUUUUCCCGUCUGUAAAGUGGGGGGUGGCCCUAACUACCGCGGUGCCGUCUGUAAGGACUCUAUGUGCUGAGUGAGGGCCUGGCACCCAGCGAGCGUCCGGGAGAUGUCACGAAGGAAAGAAAAUGCUGGAAAUGGGCUCGUGACAGGCCCUCAAUAAAUAUUUGCUGAUUAAAUAGGAGGUAGAGUAGAAAAGAGAGACAGAU